rnacentral:rRNA from 1 species
UACGGAGGGAGCUAGCGUUGUUCGGAUAUACUGGGCGUAAAGCGCACGUAGGCGGCGCCGUAAGUCAGGGGUGAAAUCCCGGAGCUCAACUCCGGAACUGCCCUUGAAACUGCAGUGCUAGAAUUCUGGAGAGGCGAGUGGAAUUCCGAGUGUAGAGGUGAAAUUCGUAGAUAUUCGGAAGAACACCAGUGGCGAAGGCGGGUCUCUGGACAGUUCCUGACGCUGAGGCACGAAGGCCAGGGGAGCAAACGGG